UACGUAGGGUGCGAGCGUUAAUCGGAAUUACUGGGCGUAAAGUGUGCGCAGGCAGCGCCGCAAGUCGAGUGUGAAAGCCCCGGGCUUAACUUGGGAAUUGCGCUCGAAACUAUGGUGCUGGAGUGUGGCAGAGGAAGGUGGAAUUCCACGUGUAGCGGUGAAAUGCGUAGAGAUGUGGAGGAACACCGAUGGCGAAGGCAGCCUUCUGGGCCAACACUGACGCUCAUGCACGAAAGCGUGGGGAGCAAACAGG
rnacentral:rRNA from 1 species